rnacentral:lncRNA from 1 species
CACUAGGAAUGACACACUCCUUUUCUGUCACAGAUAGCUUCCUCAAGCCCUGUACCUGUGUGAAGGGAGGCCGGUGAGUGUUCCUACCCGAGAAGAAGAGAGAGUGGCGUUUGACAGACAGUGAGAAGGCCCUGCCUACCACAGAAGACGGCGGGGCAAAGCGGCUGCAGGAGACUCAGUGGUGACUGUGGACCGAGCAGGCCAAAGAGCCCUCCCCACAGGGAGCAAAGGGAAAAUCUUCACAACUUGGAUGUGGACAC